UCGGACUCGCAGAGAUGGCUUAGUGCCUUCGGGAACUCUGAGACAGGUGCUGCAUGGCUGUCGUCAGCUCGUGUUGUGAAAUGUUGGGUUAAGUCCCGCAACGAGCGCAACCCUUAUCCUUUGUUGCCAGCACGUAAUGGUGGGAACUCAAAGGAGACUGCCGGUGAUAAACCGGAGGAAGGUGGGGAUGACGUCAAGUCAUCAGGGCCCUUACAAGUAGGGCUACACACUUGCUACAAUGGCAUAUACAAAAAAAACCAAACUCCCGAGAGCAAGCGGACCUCAUAAAGUAUGUCGUAUUCCGGAUUGGAGUCUGCAACUCGACUCCUUGAAUUCGGAAUCGCUAGUAAUCGUAAAUCAAAAUGCUACGGUGAAUACUUUCCCGGGUUGGACCCCCCCCGA
rnacentral:rRNA from 1 species